UACGGAGGGUGCAAGCGUUAUCCGGAUUCACUGGGUUUAAAGGGAGCGUAGGUGGCCUUAUAAGUCAGUGGUGAAAUCUCUGGGCUUAACCCAGAAAUUGCCAUUGAUACUGUAGGGCUUGAGUAUAGAUGCCGUUGGCGGAAUAUGACAUGUAGUGGUGAAAUACAUAGAGAUGUCAUAGAACACCGAUUGCGAAGGCAGCUAACGAAACUAUAACUGACACUGAGGCUCGAAAGUGUGGGGAUCAAACAGG
rnacentral:rRNA from 1 species